AACGCACAUUGCGCCUCUUGGUAUUCCGAGAGGCAUACCUGUUCGAGCGUCAUUAUAGACCAUCAAGCUUUAGCUUGGCAUUGGGUGUUCCGUCCCCAGAGGACGCGCCCUAAAGUCUUUGGCGGCCGCCUCGUGCCUCAAGCGUAGUAGAUUCUCCCGCUUUAGAGGUGUCGAGUGUCGUUCUAGCUUCCAACAACCCCAAUAAAUUAAAAGGUUGACCUCGGAUCAGGUAAGGAUACCCGCUGAACUUAA
rnacentral:misc_RNA from 1 species